UCCCUGCUGGCUCAGAUGGCAAAGAAUCUGCCUGCAAUGCAGGAGACCCAGGUUCAAUCCCUGGGUCAGGAA
rnacentral:tRNA from 1 species